CAUAGCUCAUGUAAAGGUAACGCAGAGAACUGAAACAUCUAAGUACCUGCAGGAAGAGAAAGUAAAAACGAUUUCGUAAGUAGCGGCGAGCGAACGCGAAGAAGGGCAAACCAAGAAGCUUGCUUCUUGGGGUUGUAGGACUGCAACGUGGACUUAAGCAUUAUAGUCGAAUAACCUGGGAAGGUUAAUCAAAGAGGGUAAUAAUCCCGUAGACGAAAUAGCGCUUAUACCUAGCAGUAUCCUGAGUAGGGCUGGACACGCGAAAUCCAGUUUGAAUCCGGGAGGACCAUCUC
rnacentral:rRNA from 1 species